UUACUACUCCCUCCGUCCGGAAAAGCUUGUCCCAAACUUGUUUCUCAAAUGGAUGUACCUAGCACUAACUUGGUGCUAGAUACAUCCAUUUGAGAGACAAGCUUUUUCAGACGGAGGGAGUAUAAU
rfam:Triticum aestivum genome assembly, contig: Triticum_aestivum_CS42_TGACv1_scaffold_019912_1AS